UAACGAGCGCAACCCCUAUCCCUGGUUGCUAGCAGGUAAUGCUGAGAACUCCAGGGAGACUGCCGGUGACAAACCGGAGGAAGGUGGGGAUGACGUCAGGUCAUCAUGGCCCUUACGGCCAGGGCUACACACGUGCUACAAUGGCGCGUACAGAGGGCUGCCAACUCGCGAGAGUGAGCCAAUCCCUUAAAACGCGUCGUAGUCCGGAUCGGAGUCUGCAACUCGACUCCGUGAAGUCGGAAUCGCUAGUAAUCGCGAAUCAGAAUGUCGCGGUGAAUACGUUCCCGGGCCUUGUACACACCGCCCGUCACACCAUGGGAGUGGAUUGCACCAGAAGUAGUUAGUCUANCCUUCGG
rnacentral:rRNA from 1 species